AAGUGGUAGUGUUUGCAUGAUACCAAUUUUUUCCCCAAACUUGCCAGUUAGGUAGAAUAUUGUUUCUAGCUUCCCAUUUGAAAAUUUGAGUUGGUAUCAACAAUAGAAAAGAUUUUUCUCAAUGUUCUUAUAACAGUAAUGAUUUUUUUGCCUUUAGAGCACUGUAUUAGUUGACUGAUACAUCAAGUAAUGUGGAAUCUGCCUUGUAGGUUCCAAUGGAAUGGUAACUUCAUACUAAUAACAUAAACAUCUAACUUGCAGCAUAAAAAAUUUAAGCUAGAAAAUGAAAAUUCUGCUUUCAAUAACAUAGUGUUUGACACAAAGCUUUUCCAAGUAUACAAGCAUAUCCCUCAAUCCUGGAUGGGGUUUUUUUGCUGUAUGGUUGUUGGAGGGCAGUCUUACAGGACCAGUUUUUAGAUGUAAAAUUAGAUGGAUAUGAUGCACUUGGAUUAAUUUUCUGUAAAUGUUAUCUGAUCACCUUGAAAACUGGAUGCUUGGGUGGCACUUUUUGGCUCUAGACAGCUCUAGACAUUUCCUACAGGUAAAUGUUGGUUUGAUUUUUGAAUCUUUUUUUUUUUUUUCCACAGGGGAGAAAAUAUUAGUCAGUGCUGACAAGCUGAAGAGUUGAUGUAUAAAUACCACUUUAAACUAUGGAACUUUUAAGUAUAAGACUCCUUAUAAAGCACUCUAAUAUUUUUCCUGAUUAGUGUAUUCAUCACUGCCAUUGUACUUGGCAAAUAUUUGUAACACGAAUUCAUGUCUUUAUGGCUCAAAAUGCUUAAUUCUGAGACAGUUUGUCCUUGAUUCCAGGGGCAGUUUGUUGUCAGGGAAUGACAUUUUCAGGUAUGUCUUUCCUCACGGGCUCUCAUCUAAAGCCACCUGCCUAAAUCUGACAGUUGAGCACCAGCUGGGAGUUAUGACCCGGAGAAGCAUAAAAGGGCUGGAGCGAGACAAAAUGAUCCAUCAAGUCCUGCUUGUUUUCAGCAAUUGUGUGAAAAUCAGCUCAGAGCUUCAGUUUGUUCCUGUGGAUGCUGUCUAUCAGUGUUUGGAGAACCAGGACCUCCACAGAAAGGGAAGCCAAUGCCAAAACAAUGAAAGCUUUUAA
rnacentral:lncRNA from 1 species